UGAGGAAUAUUGGUCAAUGGGUGCAAGCCUGAACCAGCCAUCCCGCGUGAAGGAUUAAGGUCCUAUGGAUUGUAAACUUCUUUUGUAUAGGGAUAAACCUACCCUCGUGAGGGUAGCUGAAGGUACUAUACGAAUAAGCACCGGCUAACUCCGUG
rnacentral:rRNA from 1 species